GUGAUGAGGACAGAUGAAGGGGAAGGAGAGAGGGGAUGACCGUGGUCAAGCCAGACAGAUGAGACAGAGCUGUGCCAGAAGAAGAAAGAAAACGAUGAUGGACACAGAAGCCUGGGCCUUAGCCAGGGGAUGGCAGCCAGGAAGAGUGGCCCCUCUUUCCCCACUCAACCCAGUGCCCUCCAGGCCCAGCCCUCUAGCCCCGUGGCCUCCCUACAGCUGGAAGUCCCCCUCCCCAGGCUGCUCACCUAGGCAAGGGAGGGCAAAAGGUGGUGCAUGGUCUCUGGUGGGGAGAAAGCAAGCAGGCUGCCUGGGGCCUGUCCCCGACCCUUCCCCAGGGCAGCCUGGAAUGGCCAUUACAGGGCCACUUCUUGCGGCACCACGAGCCAUUAAAGCAGGAGAGCUCAGGGAGCCAUCAUCCCAGCACAGAUGACUUCCCCAGAUGUGGCAGCGGGCAGGAUGUGGAAGCCCCCAGCCCCAACUCGACAGACAAAACAUUCCCGCACUAACCAUCCUCAGAAACCCCAGAGCCCAGAGCCCCUCUUACAGAUGCUUUCUAGACCAUUUAGCAGGAGGCAGUGUUUAUUUUUGAACAUAUGUUCUUCCCCAUCGCUCCCUUUCCUUCUCCCUUCCUGGUCCUUCCAUACCCAAAGCUACCCACCGGAUGGGCUGCUGUGGUCAUUACUGCCGAGUUCCAAGGCCAGCAUGGGUACAUGCUUUGUUUUGGCUUUGUUGAGUGCCUAAGUGUGUGCAUGCAGUCACGGCUGCACACGCAUGCAUACACACUCCUACUUGCCCAAGCCUCCAUUUGUGGAUGGCCGGCUUUCAGAGGUUGUCUAAGUUUGUGAGCAAAUCCUAAACCAAGCCAUGUGUUUCUUCUUUUCCAAAAUGUGUACCUGAAUCAGAGAUGGUUCCCAGGCAUUACAUACCUAUUUGGAGGGUGAGCUCAGGCAUAGAAGGUCCUUUCCCAGGAGGGAAAUUCUUGGCUUAGACCUGGGACCAAGUUCUGUUUGCUUCUCCCUGUCUAUGCAUAGAGCCCAACACUGUGCUGUGUUCAGUUAUUGCCAACCCUCCUCCACUAGAGUCUUUCUUUUCUUCAGUAAAAGAGAAGCCUUCCUUAAUUCAAAUAGCCUAGCGUUCUAAUGGAUGUGGAACUUACACUUACUGGGUGUCUAUUGUGUGCCAGGCACCAUAUUAGGUAUUUUGUAUAUUGUUUUGUUUAGCUUUCAGAACUCUGGGUAUUAUUGUUUCUAUUUUAUAGCUAGGAACAGAGGCUUUGAGAAGUGAAGUGAUUUGGCCAAUUCAGCUAGCAAGUGCUAGGGUUGGAAUUCAAACUCAUGUCUAUCUGACUCAGAAAUCCCAUGAUUUUCCCAUUAUGUGAUGAAGUUUCCCAUCUGGAAAUGUUUGGAAAUCGUUGUCACAGUCCUUCCUAAAGAGUGGCCCUCAGAAAGGAAUACAACACCCUAGAACUGAUCUGGCCAGGGCAGAGUAGAGGCAAGAUUUUCUAUAGUGAAUCCUAAGGUUACAGCCAUUUUACUUUGUUGUUUCAUGCUCAGAUUUUCUCAGAUACCACAUCUCACCCUUACUAUGUUCCCAGAUAGAUCAGUCCGUGAUGCUUGGUCUUUCUCCCAGAAUGCCCACCCUCUCAUUUAUCUACCUGCUCGUUCAUUCAUUCACUCUUUCAUCCACUCAGUAGAUGGGAAUUUCUCAGUGUUUCCUGUAUAUCCCAGGUACAAUCUAGGCACGGGGGCAGAGAUACCCUGAUAAGCACAGACAGGUUUCUUCACACAUGCCUGGCGUGGUGGGGACGAUGAGCACUCCCUGAGUAAUGGUAGAGCAAUCCUGGUUGCUACCAGAGGAGAUGUGACUGCAGGAAAGUCAGGGAGGGCCUACUAAGAGUAAGGAUAGAGCUGAGAUUUACCAAAAACCACACCUCUCACCCCAGCUCCUGUCCCUCAGCCCCUGACCCCGGACUUGGCCUAGCAAAUGCCAGCAGUCUUUCAGUCAGUGUGUAUGUCACUUUUCCUACCUGAUGUCUGGACCAGGCUAGGUCUCCACUGCACUCUUUUUCCUCUAGAGAAUUUCAUUUCCAUUUGGUUACUUGUUCAGAGUCUGUAAUCCUGAUAAAUUAUAAACUCCCUGAGGGCAAAGAAUGUGUCUCCUUAGUGUUGAGACAGUACUCCGCAUGGACUUGAUAUGCAAGAGAUGAUUGCUGAAUGGAUCACCUUGCUUUCCUAUCAUGUACUGGUGCAGCUGCAGUUUUAGACCCAUGCACAGAAAUUUACAUUUAUUAAAUUUCAUAGUAUUAGACCAUCCCAGUUUACGUUAUUCUAAUAGGUUCCAAUCUAUUAUUCAUUGAGUAUCUAUUGUUUGCCAUGACUCCUACCUUGAUGUCAAGGGUAUCAGGAACCUUGGAUUAGACCUUGAGGAUGGUUUAGUCUAGUUUAGAAGACAGGUGAAAGAACCACAAUUAUAAUGGGGUUGUUGUGUUCAGUGUGAUAUGUAGCCCAGAGAACAGAACUGUUAAGUCUGUCUGGGGGAAGAGGAAAAAGGAAGGCUUGACUUUAAAGUUGUACUUUAAGAUUGAUAAGAGGCAAGACUUAAAUGUGUCAGUUCAAAGAAGCAGGCAGCCACGGGGUAGAUGAGGUAAAUCGCCAGGAGUUCAGUUGUUCCACAAAGAUCAGAAUUGAGUCUCCUGUAAUAGUUUCUUAUAGGCAGUCAGACAGACAGUCAGACAGUCAGACAAACAGAUAGACAGACCGACUGACCAAUCAACAGACACACACACACACAUAUUGCUGGGCCUCAGUAUUUCUUACUAUAUUAUUUUUUUCCAAUCUGAGGAAUGCUUUCUUGACAGAAAAUAUGGUGUCUUCUGGUCAUAUUUAUGCUGACUCAUUUUUCACAGAAGCCAAGAGUUAUGUUUAAUAUAUGGACCUAAUCAUGUCCCCACCACUAGCAUAUUCCCAAUCAGAACCUUGCAGUGCUUACCAGGCGCCCUCCAGAAGUUGCUCUACUCUAUUCUGGCAAAUAUAGCUCUUAACAAUUUGGCCCAACGUUACGAUUCCAACUCCACUUUCUCUUCACUUUCCCUCCUUACACCUUCUGUGAACCACAGUGACUUACUAACACCUGAGCUUGAUUUUGGCACUGUCUAUUCUCUGUGUGGAGAGACAGAGGGGAAGGAUGUCAAGGAGGCUCCCAACCUGGGUCUCUUACCAGCCUGCAUAGAGCACCCUGCUUCCGGCACUACCGUUCCCACUGCACGGCACUAUUUAUAGGUUUCUGAACACUUCUUUCGUUUCCUGCUGGGCUUUUGCACACUACUUCCUGUGCUUGGAACACCCUUUCUCUGGCUUUGACUCAGACUGGCACCUACAUCCUCAUUCUGCAGGAUGCAAUCGAGGUGUUACUUUCUCUAGGAAGUCUCACUGCCUCUACUUCGAAAGCCCCACAGCACCCUGUGCUGACUUUGAUAACGGCACUAAGCAUUCUGCAUUUUAAUAUCUGCUUUCUUACCCAUUUUCCUUUCUUGCCUUUGAUUUGUUGUCGUAUGUUCAGUGCGUAGCAUAGUGCUUGACAUGUACUAAGUUUUAAAUAGCUAUUUGUUGAUUAAAUUAAUGAUUAAAUAAAAAU
ensembl:lincRNA